rnacentral:tmRNA from 1 species
UUCGACGUGGGUCAUGAAACCUGAAGGGCAUGCCGAGGGGCAGAGCACCUCGUAAAUCCAGCUGCAAAAAUAUAGUUGCCAACGACGACAACUACGCACUCGCUGCCUAAAAACCAGUAGAGUGCCGUCUGCCUGAUGCGUGCUUGUACGCUCAGUCCCAGGCGUCGACCCAUACAAGAUCGCGAUGAAGCAUGUCCGUGGCGGAUUCGUUAAAACCUUUACGGAAUCGUCCGUUGUCUUUCCUGCCGCUCGGAUAGCAACGGGUUAAACUCAAAGAGCCGGCUACGCAUGUAGAACUGAGGGCGGAAGGCUUGCGGACACGGGUUCGACUCCCGUCGCCUCCACCA